rnacentral:rRNA from 1 species
UACGAGGGGGGCUAGCGUUGCUCGGAAUUACUGGGCGUAAAGGGUGCGUAGGCGGGUCUUUAAGUCAGGGGUGAAAUCCUGGAGCUCAACUCCAGAACUGCCUUUGAUACUGAGGAUCUUGAGUUCGGGAGAGGUGAGUGGAACUGCGAGUGUAGAGGUGAAAUUCGUAGAUAUUCGCAAGAACACCAGUGGCGAAGGCGGCUCACUGGCCCGAUACUGACGCUGAGGCACGAAAGCGUGGGGAGCAAACAGG